AUUGAACGCUGGCGGCAGGCUUAACACAUGCAAGUCGAACGAGUGGCGGACGGGUGAGUAAUGCUUGGGAAUCUAGCUUAUGGAGGGGGAUAACUACGGGAAAUUGUAGCUAAUACCGCGUACCAUAGGAUGAGCCCAAGUGGGAGUAGGUAGUUGGUGAGGUAAAGGCUCCCCAAGCCGACGAUCUCUAGCUGGGUUGAGAGGAUGACCAGUCACAAGGUGACGGAGACACGGCCCAGACUCCGACGGGAGGCAGCAGUGGGGAAUAUGGCGCAAUGGGGGCAACCUGACGCAGCCCUGCGGCGUGAAUGAAGAAGGCCUUCGGGUUGUAAAGUUCUUUCGGUAGCGAGGCGUUAACUACAGAAGAAGCACCGGCUAACUCCGUGCCAGCAGCCGCGGUAAUAC
rnacentral:rRNA from 1 species